rnacentral:rRNA from 1 species
UACAGAGGGUGCAAGCGUUGUUCGGAAUCAUUGGGCGUAAAGGGUGCGUAGGCCGCACGGUAAGUCAGAUGUGAAAUCUCAGGGCUCAACUCUGAAAUUGCAUCCGAUACUGCCGUGCUUGAGGACUGGAGAGGAGUCUGGAAUUCAUGGUGGAGCAGUGAAAUGCGUAGAUAUCAUGAGGAACGCCAGUGGCGUAGGCGAGACUCUGGACAGUUCCUGACGCUGAGGCACGAAGGCCAGGGGAGCAAACGGG